rnacentral:piRNA from 1 species
UAGCCAUUUGCGUGAUUUUUGAAUGAAC